rnacentral:tRNA from 1 species
GGAGGGUACAGCUCAGAGGUAGAGCACCAUGCCUAGCAUGCACGAGGUCCUGGGUUCCAUCCCCAGUCCCUCCA